UACGGAGGGUGCAAGCGUUAUCCGGAUUCACUGGGUUUAAAGGGUGCGUAGGUGGGCAGUUAAGUCAGUGGUGAAAUCUCCGGGCUCAACCCGGAAACUGCCAUUGAUACUAUCUGUCUUGAAUAUCGUGGAGGUAAGCGGAAUAUGUCAUGUAGCGGUGAAAUGCUUAGAUAUGACAUAGAACACCAAUUGCGAAGGCAGCUUACUGCCCGAAUAUUGACACUGAGGCAUGAAAGCGUGGGGAGCAAACAGG
rnacentral:rRNA from 1 species